rnacentral:lncRNA from 1 species
CUCAUUCUUCAUUCCAGACAGCCUCUCCUGGGAGAGCAAGCAGCCCAGAGCCAACCACAACAAAGAAGCACCAGUUACCUUCCUUAAAAGAAAUUCCUGGAUAAUGUGGAUGAGAACGGAGGCUAACAGAAAGAUGUUUGGUGUGAUAAAUCUCCUGAAAAGAACCUGAUGCUGGCCAGCACCCCAGCAUCACUCUUCCUGGAAGCCCAAGAAAUCACAGUUUCUGGAAUCAAAAAGUACAAAGAGUACCGAGGGCCACCAUCAAGUGAGCAGCCCAACCUAUUCUCCCUGACAUGAUGAGUGCAGAACCAGUGGUCGUAGAUUAAACUCUCUGAAACUUUCUCGCCAUCUGUCUUAGAAGUGCUGUCAGUGCCUUCAUAAGUCUGGAAUUUGGGAGUCAUUUGUCAGAGUCGUCCUAUCUCCUAUUCUGUAAUGUCGUCCAUGUAUGGGAGUAAGAACUUAGGGAAAGUACAAGCUUCCCACUACGAUGACCUAGGCUCCAGCAAGGCUGAACCUGGCAGGCUGCCCUUUCUGUCCUCCUAAGAGGAGACUCCUGUCUGGUUUCUGGAUCUUCUGGAGCAAAGGCAAGAUUGAGAACAACACAUUCCAUAGGAGUUUCUCAAGACCAUCGUGACACACCACGCAGCUAGUCUGCACAGUGGGGCACUUAUUAAUUCUGUUGCCAUCUGUUUCAAAGCCAGUAAAGGACAAAGGAUAAAUGUUUACCUUUCAAGGAACAAAAGAGACAGCUCCCUACAGACCUUCUGUUGCCCACGUCUUAUCACUGU